CAUUUUUCUGAUUGUCUGCUGGUCGGCUAUUAGAAAAGAAAGAUCGGCUAAAUCCUUCGGACCUGAUCAACUUCAUCCCGGAGCUACUGAUUUCAACUACUUCGGCCUAACUCUCCGAAACGAUGAAUUACACAAGUUUUAUUUUCGCUUUCCAGCUUUGCAUAAUU
rfam:Felis catus isolate Cinnamon breed Abyssinian chromosome B4, whole genome shotgun sequence.